UCAAACCUUGCAAAGACUUCAAAGUAUCUCUCGGGUUUGUUCGUUUUGUUUUUCUACCUUUCCCUUUAUGCCCUUUUUGUUUUGGCCGAAUAGCCUUCGGUUUUUCCUCUUUCCCUUGUGGCUGAAUAUUGCCUUUCUUUCUUCUUCUCUCUUGGCUGAAUACUGCUUUUCUCUCCCUCUUCAUCUAUUCAAUUUUGUUAUGACUUGACAACUAUUUUCUUACAGUUAAAUUUCCACGAAGAGUGAA
rnacentral:lncRNA from 1 species